UCCGAGCCUGUAAUGCGCUUGUUGUAACUUAACAACAAACCAAAUGCCUAAAAGUAAACCUCAUUUAGUUAAGCUUGGAAUAACCGCAAAUACAAAACAAAAAAACAAAAAGCUUGGUUAAGCUUAAAGUUUCUUAUCUAUUGAUAAUCAAUUAUCUACCCAGAAUUGAGCAUUUAAGUAUCGGUCUAAGCAUAGAAUAAGCAGCGGCCAACUUCUUUUCUCUUGUGGCUGCUAAGAUAAGCGCAUCGCUCGCGGUUAAACUCCAGUAUAUAUUUAACCCCCGGAAAAAAAAAAAAGACACGUGGUGGGGAAUUUCCACAUAAGUUUCCCAAAACUAAACGCAGAGGGAAGUGAGCAGCGCUCAGUGUAUUAAAAGUGAAUUACAUUUUUGCGGUGCCAAUUCAAGGUCGAAUUGGCACCCAGUAAGAACCCAUUUGUGUAUUGUUCUUACAUUGGGAAUAAGUUUACAAUCCCCCAAGCAGCCAGUUUACCCUAAGAAGGGCUUCCAGCGCCACGCCGUGGGAUCUGAUGGAUUUAUUAUAAAUUAGUGUGAGAGACACAAUUUUCUUUUGGGAUUAAGGUGCAUGUGCAAUAAUUUUCCCUCAUUAAUUAAAACCCGCCAAUGGCCAGCAUAUGCACCCGAAUUAUUCUCAUCCAAUGACGUCACUCAUCGCCCAAGACAGUUACGCUUGUCCCGUAUUGGUUUCCGGAAUUAUUAAUUUGAUUUAGUUAUUUUUAUUUUGGUAGUAUUUGUUUUUUUUUGGAGCUUGGAGUUUAAUAAUGUAAGAAAAUAACGUUUCCAGUUCCCUUAAUUUGUAGUUCUUUUUAUUAUUUAAAUACUAAAACUGAACGGUAUGGAAAUAUUAAUUAAUUUGGUGAAUAUAUAUAUAUAUACAUACAUAAAAAUAACCUCUAUGCCCUAAAAUUAUAGAUUCAUCGCUCAACCCGACAAAAGAUCUUUUGGACGUGGAAAUUAAACUCGAUGUAAGUGAAAAAAAAAA